GAAACAAACACAGCAGGUUUUACACAUACAAAGAAACAGAUCUCUUCAAGUACAAAAGACAGUUCUACAAAAAAAUGUCACGUGACUUUUGGCACUACUCUUCCAUCUUGCUGAUCCACAAACAAAUGCCAGUAAACUUUCUAACAAAUUUCCUGUAAUUCGAACUCCACAACAGCAGGUGGCGCCGCUGAGUCAAUUUAAGGCCGGCAGGACGAUUUUUUCCCCCCUAUAUUGUUAUUUUUUAUUCUUCGAUUUUAUUCAAGGCCGCAACAGGAUGUGCAGGGUUAGUUGCGGACUGUCUUGUCACAUAUUGUGGUAACAGUAAUUUGAUGUUGCUUUUGUAUUUAAACUUUUUCAGUGGAAUCCGUCACAUUAUGAAGUACUGUUUGAUGCUGUGCAUGAACACCAUCACUGGUUCCUGGUUGUAAUAUAUCCACCUGAAAGAAGGACACGCUGAAAAAGUGCCAGGAUGUAACAAGAGCAUGCAUGAGGAAGAAAGGGGUGAAUGUGUCCAGAUGGAACUGUGACACGGUGCCUCAUCCACACCAACCGGACAGCCCCUCCUGUGGGGUUUUUGCCAUCAAGUUCAUAGAGAAAAUCUUGAAAAAUGAAGAGGUGAAAUUCCCCGCUGGCCGAACUGACGUGACAGAGUUAUUCUGGCAGAUUGCCACAACUCUUCUUCAGGAAUCUGACGAUCUGACAAACCUUUGCCUCAACUGUGGGGAGGAAAAUGCAGAUGACAGUGACCUGGGUUAUUCUGCUUGAUGUAAAGAAUGUGGUUGCUCCUGUGUUUGUAUCUAUUUUCCAAGUUUUCUUUAAAAAUUUCAUGCUGUGUUGAAAUGUUUGUGCACUACAGAUAUACUACAGAUACGCUGGUUCCACCAUGCAUGUGUUGGAGGGCCAGAGAUGGAGGACAAGUGUGUGUGUGCAGCGUGCUGAAGGAAGUUCAUGUAUCAAUAAGAAAUGUUGUAUUUACAGUUUAUUUUUCCUUGAUUUUGAAUGUUUUAUUUUUUAAAUUUUAAUUUUUCUGUUGAUAAAUAUAAAUAUUGCACAUUUUGCCAUUUAAUGUUAUAUUUAUUGAAUUGAAUAAUAAUUCUACGUUCUAAAAAGUAUGUUGUUUUUUUUUUUUUUGUUUAAUGUUAUUUAAGUCUUUAAUGCUUGUCUGAGCCUCCCUUCAUAUUGAACACAGGGGGAACAGUAUCUGACCGUAAUAUUCCAAGCUGCCAGGAUGUGCUUUACCUGCUAUAAUGGAGCUGGAUUUAAGACAAAUGUGAUGAAACAGCGAUUUAUAUUUAGCCUAUAAAUGAAUGAGCACACUUUCUUCCAAAAGUCCAAAUAUUUGAAAUGAAAAGUCUCUCACAAAUACAAUAUUUUAGCAGCCCUUGCGUGAGCUGGGCGGAGGUGUCGAUGACGUGCACUGUUGUGCAUCACACAGCCGAGGAGUUUGAAGACCAAAGAACAGCUGAUCACAGCAGUCAGUCCAUGAUUUCACCUGCCGACUCCGAGGUCUACCAGCGCAUUAGCUCAGGAAGUUAGGGACAUGCUUGGCAGACUGAAGGGUGUGGGAUCGAUUCUUGAUUGAUUUUGGAGCGUUGCGGUUUAAAAGAAUGAAAUGUGACAGAGACAAAAUGCAGCUGUCAGAACCAGUAGCGCAGUCUUAUAGAUGCCUGCUCAGCAGUCCUGAGGAUGUGGGUUCAAAACUUGU